rnacentral:rRNA from 1 species
UACGUAGGGGGCAAGCGUUGUCCGGAUUUAUUGGGCGUAAAGAGCGUGUAGGCGGCCAGACAGGUCCGUUGUGAAAACUAGAGGCUUAACCUCUAGACGUCGAUGGAAACCGUCUGGUUAGAGUCCGGAAGAGGAGAAUGGAAUUCCUGGUGUAGCGGUGAAAUGCGCAGAUAUCAGGAAGAACACCCGUGGCUAAGGCGGUUCUCUAGUACGGUACUGACGCUGAGACGCGAAAGCGUGGGGAGCGAACAGG